CUCGUCUCGUUGGUGACAGCGGAGGGUCAUUACCGAGUUUACAACUCCCAAACCCAAUGUGAACGUUACCAAACUGUUGCCUCGGCGGGAUCUCUGCCCCGGGUGCGUCGCAGCCCCGGACCAAGGCGCCCGCCGGAGGACCAACCAAAACUCUUAUUGUAUACCCCCUCGCGGGUUUUUUACUAUCUGAGCCAUCUCGGCGCCCCUCGUGGGCGUUUCGAAAAUGAAUCAAAACUUUCAACAACGGAUCUCUUGGUUCUGGCAUCGAUGAAGAACGCAGCGAAAUGCGAUAAGUAAUGUGAAUUGCAGAAUUCAGUGAAUCAUCGAAUCUUUGAACGCACAUUGCGCCCGCCAGUAUUCUGGCGGGCAUGCCUGUCCGAGCGUCAUUUCAACCCUCGAACCCCUCCGGGGGGUCGGCGUUGGGGGAUCGGCCCUUUACGGGGCCGGCCCCGAAAUACAGUGGCGGUCUCGCCGCAGCCUCUCCUGCGCAGUAGUUUGCACACUCGCAUCGGGAGCGCGGCGCGUCCACAGCCGUUAAACACCCCAAACUUCUGAAAUGUUGACCUCGGAUCAGGUAGGAAUACCCGCUGAACUUAAGCAUACUA
rnacentral:rRNA from 1 species